UUGUCGUCAGCUCGUGUCGUGAGAUGUGGUUAAGUCCGCAACGAGCGCAACCCUCGACCUUAGUUGCCAGCAUUCAGUUGGGCACUCUAAGGUGACUGCCGGCUAAAAGUCGGAGGAAGGUGGGGAUGACGUCAAAUCAUCAUGCCCCUUAUGACCUGGGCUACACACGUGCUACAAUGGGCGGUACAAAGGGUCGCGAACCCGCGAGGGGGAGCCAAUCCCAAAAAGCCGCUCUCAGUUCGGAUUGCAGGCUGCAACUCGCCUGCAUGAAGCCGGAAUCGCUAGUAAUCGCGGAUCAGCAUGCCGCGGUGAAUACGUUCCCGGGCCUU
rnacentral:rRNA from 1 species